rnacentral:rRNA from 1 species
AUUGAACGCUGGCGGCAGGCCUAACACAUGCAAGUCGAACGAGUGGCGGACGGGUGAGUAAUGACUGGGAAACUGCCUGAUGGAGGGGGAUAACUACUGGAAACGGUAGCUAAUAACGCAUACCAUCGGAUGAGCCCAGAUGGGAUUAGCGAGUAGGUGGGGUAAAGGCUCACCUAGGCGACGAUCCCUAGCUGGUCUGAGAGGAUGACCAGCCACACGGGACCUGAGACACGGGCCAGACUCCUACGGUAGGCAGCAGUGGGGCAUAUUGCACAAGGGGCGCAAGCCUGAUGCAGCCAUGCCGCGGGUAUGAAGAAGGCUGUCGGGUUGUAAAGUACUUGCAGCGGGGAGGCGUGACCCGCAGAAGAAGCACCGGCUAACUCCGUGCCAGCCGCCGCGGUAAUAC